UAGUGCACCCAUGUUGGGAUUUGUUCUGCUGCUCAGACACAUGACAUUUAUAAGAGAAAGAAGUCAAGCUGGCUCAGAUUGAACACUUCAUUUCAUGGAGCAGAGAAGGAAAUAUGCACAUAACCCUGAGGAGGGAAAAGAAUAUGUAGUCAUAAAGAAUGAAUGUCUGCCAGCCAUCUAAAAUGAGAAGUCAGUGGCAGUGUGUGCUGGGCCCACCUUGUUUCAGAUGUGUGCUGGGGCUUGUGGGAAUCAAGAACAGCCUGCCAUCUUGGUUGUCUAAAAUGUGAAUUCAUCGGAGAGGAAUUUAAUAAAUCCUGAGCAGUCUAGGACAAUAGUUUUUGAGAAGUGGGAAAAAACCUCCAAGGAUGACAGAUUUAGCUUCACAUAUCUUGUCAGAACAUUAGCAUAAGAGUGAGUUGCCUCACAUGAACUUAAAAUACAGGAGAAAAUUACUCUCAGAGAGUUACAGCUGAGCCUACACUCAGUGGAUAUGCUUCUUUGGUCCGCCACCUGUGAAAGAAACCCAAAUUAGAACUGGAAGUCAGAAAAGGGCCAAGGUGCAAACGUUAUACAAACACCAAGGGUGCAUCAUAUGCCAGGAGACUCAGUAGCUUGCACACAUAAUGUUAUUAAAACUUCACAGCAACCCUGUAUAGCCAGGUUGAUUUUUUAUGUUUUAUAUAAGUUAUCUGAAUUCAGUAGAGCUUAAAUUGUUUGGCUAAACACUCAUACCAGGUAUGGGGAAAGAGCAGCAGGAGUGAUUCAGGUCUCUGGACUCAAAGCUCUGUGCAAAGAAAUGGAGCUAGGAUGCCCCUGUGAUUUCACAGAAAAUAACCUAGCAAGACAGAGACCAAUAAUGAUGGCAGGGCAUUCAGUCCUUUACUACAUCAUAUAUACUCAAAAAACAAAACUUGCAGUUUAUAUAAUUUUUCAAAGGGCAGAGAUUGGGAUUCUAAGGUGGAAUGGGUUGAAUACUGGCUGCCAAAAGUAUGUCUCGUCCAGUACCAUGGCACAUGAUGGGUUUAUGGGAUAAAGAUCUUUGCAAGUGUGUGUGUGUGUGUGUGUGUGUGUGUGUGUGUGUGUGUGUGUGUAGUAUAGAUGUUGAGCACACAGCAUCAUGAAUACUCAUGAGAGUUGAGCUGAUCUAAUGGGGGUAUCCUUACAAGAGUGAAAAAAAUGGCAGAGGAAAGGUCACAAACGAGAAGGUCCUGUGAGAUGGAGGAGAACCAGAAUGUAGUCAUGAUGUCAUAGAAACACAGAACACUGGAUGCCAACACAAGCCACGAGAGGUUUUUCUUGGAAGUCCCCAAAGUAGGCUUGACUCUAGAGGUAGUUCUUUCAGACUCGUCACCUCCAGAACCAGGGGACAGAGGAACUUCUGUUAUUGUAAAGUAGCGUGUCUGUCAUUGUUAUGGAAGCCUUGUUUCUGAGGAUGGUUUAGAUCAUGGAGACAACUGACCAUCAGAGAUAAAAAAUGUUGAGACCGUCUUAUGUAGCUGAUUAAAGGAUAAGGGCCUGUGAAAGUGAAGGCUUGGCCUCGCUCGUCUAGAAAACAAAACACCUUACCUACUGCCUAGAAGAGAAAGUAGUCAUCAUUGCUGUUCAUAAUUUUCAGAAGCUCCCUAAUUCAGCUUAGUAUAAUAGGAUCGUGCUGUAAUUGAAAACACUUAACAGCAUCACAAGACGAAGUUAACUUUAAGGCUUUAAGCUUCGAAUAUGACUACAAUGUCUAAGAAAACAAGCUUCAGGGAAUGGUUUCAGCUGUAUUUAAAGUAUAUUUAUGACAAGAAGACAGUGUUCAAAAUGUUUUGCUUAUUGAAAAAAGCAAUAUGCAGAAAUACAGAUAAUUAUAUAGACAGUGUGAUGCAAAUUCUGGAAAAGCAUUUUGAUUUGAUAUUUAAUAAUCUUAAGGUAAAUAAAUGGAGGAGCCUAUGUGCUUAUCAAUGUGGUAUGGCCACAUGUAGCCUACUGUGCAUCAGACUUCAAAGAGAUGUAUGCAUUUUCAUAUACUUGUACAUUAACCCAAGGAUAUUUAUUAAUUGCUAUCAUUGUUCACUGGGCAAUGCAAUUAAAAAUAUUUGUUUAUAAACA